rnacentral:rRNA from 1 species
GAUGAACGCUGGCGGCGUGCCUAAUACAUGCAAGUCGAGCGAACAGACGAGGAGCUUGCUCCUCUGACGUUAGCGGCGGACGGGUGAGUAACACGUGGAUAACCUACCUAUAAGACUGGGAUAACUUCGGGAAACCGGAGCUAAUACCGGAUAAUAUAUUGAACCGCAGGGAUCAAUAGUGAAAGACGGUUGUGCUGUCACUUAUAGAUGGAUCCGCGCCGCAUUAGCUAGUUGGUAAGGUAACGGCUUACCAAGGCAACGAUGCGUAGCCGACCUGAGAGGGUGAUCGGCCACACUGGAACUGAGCCGCGGUCCAGACUCCUACGGGAGGCGGCAGUAGGGAAUCUUCCGCAAUGGGCGAAAGCCUGACGGAGCAACGCCGCGUGAGUGAUGAAGGUCUUCGGAUCGUAAAACUCUGUUAUUAGGGAAGAACAAAUGUGUAAGUAACUAUGCACGUCUUGACGGUACCUUAUCAGAAAGCCACGGCUAACUACGUG